GCCGAUGUAGCUUAGUUGGUGGAGCGGCUGAUUCGUAAUCAGCAGGUCGAGGGUCCAAAUCCCUCCAUCGGCU
rfam:Thermoplasmatales archaeon SCGC AB-539-N05 MBGDN05_Contig41.41, whole genome shotgun sequence.